rnacentral:lncRNA from 1 species
AAUAAAGCAAUAAUUAAAAAAAUAUAAAAGAAAUAAUAAGAGGGAGGGGGCACACUAAUAAUACAAGAGGUAAAAGAAUUAAAAAAAGAAAAAAAAGAAAAAAGAAAAAGAAAUAAAUAAAUAAAGCAAUAAUAAGAAAAAUAAUAAAUAAAAAAAUAUACAAAAGACAAAAAUAGACUAAAAAUUGGGCUAGAAAAAUGCUCUAGGCUCAAAGGAGGGAGUCUCACAUGGGUGCACUGAGCAAUUAGGGACUGUGGGCGG